rnacentral:lncRNA from 1 species
GGGCUUGAGGCUGAGCAUCCCUUUGGUGCAGUGCAGACUUCUAGCCAGGGAACCACUGUUUGGUGCAGAGGAGACUUUGAGCCAUGGAGCUUUUGCAGGUCCAGGGAACUAGGGGAGAGUGGGUGGUUCUCGGCAGGCUGCUGUGUACUGGGCAGUUAUCUUCCCUACUGCUGUGUACCCGGGUCAAAGUCAGCACAAGACUGAAGACAUCAUUAGCUGUCCUUCAGCUCUGAGAGGGAUUCCUGCAGGACUCAACACUCAGCUCAGGAGGCACAGAGCUUCCCCAGAGGGAAUGUGCUGGGUAAUUUAAAAUCUCUGAGGUUCUUGGAGAAAAGGGCUUUCUCCUUUCUGUCAUCCCACUAGAACACAAUAAAGCUUGUCAGUCAC